UACGUAGGUGACAAGCGUUGUCCGGAUUUACUGGGCGUAAAGAGCGCGCAGGCGGUCGUUCAAGUCGAGUGUGAAAGCCCCCGGCUCAACUGGGGAGGGUCACUCGAUACUGAUCGACUCGAAGGCAGAAGAGGGAAGCGGAAUUCCCGGUGUAGUGGUGAAAUGCGUAGAUAUCGGGAGGAACACCAGUGGCGAAGGCGGCUUUCUGGUCUGCUCUUGACGCUGAGGCGCGAAAGCUAGGGUAGCAAACGGG
rnacentral:rRNA from 1 species